GACGAACGCUGGCGGCGUGCUUAACACAUGCCAGUCGAACGGUGAAGCGCCUUCCUUUUUGGUGGGUGUGGAUGAGUGGCGAACGGGUGAGUAACACGUGAGUAACCUGCCCCCUUCUUCUGGAUAACCGCAUGAAAGUGUGGCUAAUACGGGAUAUUCUGGGUCUGUCGCAUGAUGGGUCUGGGAAAGAUAUUGUUUCGGUGGGGGAUGGGCUCGCGGCCGAUCAGCUUGUUGGUGGGGUGAUGGCCUACCAAGGCGGUGACGGGUAGCCGGCCUGGGAGGGUUGACGGUCACACUGGGACUGAGACACGGCCCAGACUCCUCCGGGAGGCAGCAGUGGGGACUAUUGGACACUGGGCGCAAGCCUGAUGCAGCGACGCCGCGUGAGGGAUGGAGGCCUUCGGGUUGUGAACCUCUUUCGCCAGUGAAGCAGGCCUGCCUCGUUUGUGGGUGGGUUGACGGUAGCUGGAUAAGAAGCGCCGGCUAACUACGUG
rnacentral:rRNA from 1 species